GGUUAAGCGACUAAGCGUACACGGUGGAUGCCCUGGCAGUCAGAGGCGAUGAAGGACGUGCUAAUCUGCGAUAAGCGUCGGUAAGGUGAUAUGAACCGUUAUAACCGGCGAUUUCCGAAUGGGGAAACCCAGUGUGUUUCGACACACUAUCAUUAACUGAAUCCAUAGGUUAAUGAGGCGAACCGGGGGAACUGAAACAUCUAAGUACCCCGAGGAAAAGAAAUCAACCGAGAUUCCCCCAGUAGCGGCGAGCGAACGGGGAGCAGCCCAGAGCCUGAAUCAGUGUGUGUGUUAGUGGAAGCGUCUGGAAAGGCGCGCGAUACAGGGUGACAGCCCCGUACACAAAAAUGCACAUGCUGUGAGCUCGAUGAGUAGGGCGGGACACGUGGUAUCCUGUCUGAAUAUGGGGGGACCAUCCUCCAAGGCUAAAUACUCCUGACUGACCGAUAGUGAACCAGUACCGUGAGGGAAAGGCGAAAAGAACCCCGGCGAGGGGAGUGAAAAAGAACCUGAAACCGUGUACGUACAAGCAGUGGGAGCACGCUUAGGCGUGUGACUGCGUACCUUUUGUAUAAUGGGUCAGCGACUUAUAUUCUGUAGCAAGGUUAACCGAAUAGGGGAGCCGAAGGGAAACCGAGUCUUAACUGGGCGUUAAGUUGCAGGGUAUAGACCCGAAACCCGGUGAUCUAGCCAUGGGCAGGUUGAAGGUUGGGUAACACUAACUGGAGGACCGAACCGACUAAUGUUGAAAAAUUAGCGGAUGACUUGUGGCUGGGGGUGAAAGGCCAAUCAAACCGGGAGAUAGCUGGUUCUCCCCGAAAGCUAUUUAGGUAGCGCCUCGUGAAUUCAUCUCCGGGGGUAGAGCACUGUUUCGGCAAGGGGGUCAUCCCGACUUACCAACCCGAUGCAAACUGCGAAUACCGGAGAAUGUUAUCACGGGAGACACACGGCGGGUGCUAACGUCCGUCGUGAAGAGGGAAACAACCCAGACCGCCAGCUAAGGUCCCAAAGUCAUGGUUAAGUGGGAAACGAUGUGGGAAGGCCCAGACAGCCAGGAUGUUGGCUUAGAAGCAGCCAUCAUUUAAAGAAAGCGUAAUAGCUCACUGGUCGAGUCGGCCUGCGCGGAAGAUGUAACGGGGCUAAACCAUGCACCGAAGCUGCGGCAGCGACACUAUGUGUUGUUGGGUAGGGGAGCGUUCUGUAAGCCUGUGAAGGUGUACUGUGAGGUAUGCUGGAGGUAUCAGAAGUGCGAAUGCUGACAUAAGUAACGAUAAAGCGGGUGAAAAGCCCGCUCGCCGGAAGACCAAGGGUUCCUGUCCAACGUUAAUCGGGGCAGGGUGAGUCGACCCCUAAGGCGAGGCCGAAAGGCGUAGUCGAUGGGAAACAGGUUAAUAUUCCUGUACUUGGUGUUACUGCGAAGGGGGGACGGAGAAGGCUAUGUUGGCCGGGCGACGGUUGUCCCGGUUUAAGCGUGUAGGCUGGUUUUCCAGGCAAAUCCGGAAAAUCAAGGCUGAGGCGUGAUGACGAGGCACUACGGUGCUGAAGCAACAAAUGCCCUGCUUCCAGGAAAAGCCUCUAAGCAUCAGGUAACAUCAAAUCGUACCCCAAACCGACACAGGUGGUCAGGUAGAGAAUACCAAGGCGCUUGAGAGAACUCGGGUGAAGGAACUAGGCAAAAUGGUGCCGUAACUUCGGGAGAAGGCACGCUGAUAUGUAGGUGAAGUCCCUCGCGGAUGGAGCUGAAAUCAGUCGAAGAUACCAGCUGGCUGCAACUGUUUAUUAAAAACACAGCACUGUGCAAACACGAAAGUGGACGUAUACGGUGUGACGCCUGCCCGGUGCCGGAAGGUUAAUUGAUGGGGUCAGCGCAAGCGAAGCUCUUGAUCGAAGCCCCGGUAAACGGCGGCCGUAACUAUAACGGUCCUAAGGUAGCGAAAUUCCUUGUCGGGUAAGUUCCGACCUGCACGAAUGGCGUAAUGAUGGCCAGGCUGUCUCCACCCGAGACUCAGUGAAAUUGAACUCGCUGUGAAGAUGCAGUGUACCCGCGGCAAGACGGAAAGACCCCGUGAACCUUUACUAUAGCUUGACACUGAACAUUGAGCCUUGAUGUGUAGGAUAGGUGGGAGGCUUUGAAGUGUGGACGCCAGUCUGCAUGGAGCCGACCUUGAAAUACCACCCUUUAAUGUUUGAUGUUCUAACGUGGACCCGUAAUCCGGGUUGCGGACAGUGUCUGGUGGGUAGUUUGACUGGGGCGGUCUCCUCCUAAAGAGUAACGGAGGAGCACGAAGGUUGGCUAAUCCUGGUCGGACAUCAGGAGGUUAGUGCAAUGGCAUAAGCCAGCUUGACUGCGAGCGUGACGGCGCGAGCAGGUGCGAAAGCAGGUCAUAGUGAUCCGGUGGUUCUGAAUGGAAGGGCCAUCGCUCAACGGAUAAAAGGUACUCCGGGGAUAACAGGCUGAUACCGCCCAAGAGUUCAUAUCGACGGCGGUGUUUGGCACCUCGAUGUCGGCUCAUCACAUCCUGGGGCUGAAGUAGGUCCCAAGGGUAUGGCUGUUCGCCAUUUAAAGUGGUACGCGAGCUGGGUUUAGAACGUCGUGAGACAGUUCGGUCCCUAUCUGCCGUGGGCGCUGGAGAAUUGAGGGGGGCUGCUCCUAGUACGAGAGGACCGGAGUGGACGCAUCACUGGUGUUCGGGUUGUCAUGCCAAUGGCACUGCCCGGUAGCUAAAUGCGGAAGAGAUAAGUGCUGAAAGCAUCUAAGCACGAAACUUGCCCCGAGAUGAGUUCUCCCUGACUCCUUGAGAGUCCUGAAGGAACGUUGAAGACGACGACGUUGAUAGGCCGGGUGUGUAAGCGCAGCGAUGCGUUGAGCUAACCGGUACUAAUGAACCGUGAGGCUUAACCUU
rnacentral:rRNA from 1 species